GGUGGGUCCUCUCGCAUCAAUAGUUCGUGAACCCGGUCAGGUCCGGAAGGAAGCAGCCGAAGCGAACGACUUGAGUGCCGAGAUGUGGCUUAUCAGG
rfam:Tolumonas auensis DSM 9187, complete genome.